UACGAAGGGGACUAGCGUUGUUCGGAAUCACUGGGCGUAAAGCGCACGUAGGCGGCUUUGUAAGUCAGGGGUGAAAUCCCGGGGCUCAACCUCGGAACUGCCUUUGAUACUGCGAAUCUUGAGUCCGAUAGAGGUGGGUGGAAUUCCUAGUGUAGAGGUGAAAUUCGUAGAUAUUCGGAAGAACACCAGUGGCGAAGGCGGCGAUCUGGGAAGAUACUGACGCUGAGGUGCGAAAGCGGGGGGAGCAAACAGG
rnacentral:rRNA from 1 species